CGACCGGAACGUAUUUAUUAGAUAUUAGACCAAUCGCAGCAAUGUGAUUGAGAUGAAUCAAAGUAACUGAUCGAAUCGUAGCUUGCUACGAUAAAUCAUCUAAGUUUCUGCCCUAUCAGCUCUCGAUGGUAGUGUAUUGGACUACCAUGGCAGUCACGGGUAACGGAGAAUUAGGGUUCGAUUCCGGAGAAGGAGCCUGAGAAACGGCUACUACAACUACGGUUCGGCAGCAGGGAAGAAAAUUGGCCAAUCCUAAUUCAGGGAGCCAGUGACAAGAAAUAGCAAGCUGGAGAACUAAGUUCUUACGGCAUUGAAAUGAGAAAAGUGUUAAUCUCUUAGCGAGGAACAAUUGGAGGGCAAGUCAUGGUGCCAGCAGCCGCGGUAAUUCCAGCUCCAAUAGCGUAUAUUAAAGUUGUUGCAGUUAAAAAGCUCGUAGUUGAACUUCUGUUCAGGUUCAUUUCGACUCGUCGAGUGAAACUGGGCAUACGUCUGCAAACUAAAAUCGGCCUUCACUGGUUCGACUUAGGGAGUAGGCAUUUUACUGUGAAAAAAUUAGAGUGUUUCAGGCAGGUUUUAGCCCGAAUACAUUAGCAUGGAAUAAUGGAAUAGGACUAAGUCCAUUUUAUUGGUUCUUGGAUUUGGUAAUGAUUAAUAGGGACAGUUGGGGGCAUUAGUAUUUAAUAGUCAGAGGUGAAAUUCUUGGAUUUAUUAAGGACUAACUAAUGCGAAAGCAUUUGCCAAAGAUGUUUUCAUUAAUCAAGAACGAAAGUUAGGGGAUCAAAGACGAUCAGAUACCGUCGUAGUCUUAACUAUAAACUAUACCGACUCGGGAUCGGCUGGAAUAUAUGUCCAGUCGGCACCGUAUGAGAAAUCAAAGUCUUUGGGUUCUGGGGGAAGUAUGGUACGCAAGUCUGAAACUUAAAGGAAUUGACGGAACAGCACACCAGAAGUGGAACCUGCGGCUUAAUUUGACUCAACACGGGGAAACUCACGAGCGCAAGACAGAGAAGGGAUUGACAGAUUGAGAGCUCUUUCUUGAUUCUUUGGGUGGUGGUGCAUGGCCGUUCUUAGUUGGUGGAGUGAUUUGUCUGGUUAAUUCCGUUAACGAACGAGACCUUAACCUGCUAACUAGUCUACCUGUGAACAACAGGUUGUACUUCUUAGAGGGACUAUUGUGCAAGAAGCCAAUGGAAGUUUAAGGCAAUAACAGGUCUGUGAUGCCCCUAGACGUGCUCGGCCGCACGCGCGUUACAAUGACUGGCGCAGAAAGUAUUUCCUGUCCUGGGAAGGUACGGGUAAUCUUAUUAAUACCAGUCGUGUUAGGGAUAGUUCUUUGGAAUUUUGGAUCUUGAACGAGGAAUUUCUAGUAAGUGCAAGUCAUCAGCU
rnacentral:rRNA from 1 species